CUGAGGAGUUGUUUCAUGGUUCAGCACGUUAAGAAUCCGGUGUUGUCACUGCUGUGGCUUUGUUUACAGCAUUGCGCAGGCUUGAUCCCUGACCCAGGAACUUCCAAACGCCGCGGACAUGGGGUUGGGGAGGGGGAGAUAGACGUUUAGGAAUCAGCUGCUUCACUUUGCAAUCCCCGCUAAGGCUGCUUAAAGAUAGGACUCCUCUUGAAACAGAGACUAAUGAACUUAAAAACAAACAAAUGUUUUCCACUGCUGCCCACAUCUAUACUAAUAUGAAGUAAUUGAACAAGGCCGGGAUGAACACUUUCAUUCAUCAAAAGAAAGAAUGGAAGGCAUACAACCAUCGCUGGUUCUUGGAAUUUGGAAAUCCUGCUGAACAUUCCAGUUCAGCUCCUUGGCCACAGGAAUUCGUUCAGGAAUGGAUCCCUGACCCAAGCUGAACCAAUGAAAGUUUCCUACCUCCUUGUGAGAAGUUAUUUUGCUUUCUUGGGAGAAAGUCUCUCCCCUGCGCCGC